rnacentral:rRNA from 1 species
CUUUAUAAUCCCUUACACCUGUGCAUCUUGUCGCUCCGGCGAUAUUAUACAAACAUCAGUGUAAUGAAUGUAAAUUAUUAUAACAAAUACAACUUUCAACAACGGAUCUCUUGGCUCUCGCAUCGAUGAAGAACGCAGCGAAAUGCGAUAAGUAAUGUGAAUUGCAGAAUUCAGUGAAUCAUCGAAUCUUUGAACGCACAUUGCGCCUUUUGGUAUUCCGAAAGGCAUGCCUGUUUGAGUGUCAUAUCACCUCUCAUAUCUAGUUUUCUAUAUAUGAGCUUUGGACGUUGCCAUCCGUGGCUCGUCUUAAAUGACUAAGUGGAAUGCGUAAUAAGUUUUCGCUCCCUCCACUCUAAUAUCUUUAUGUUAGACCUCAAAUCAGGUAGGACUACCCGC